rnacentral:rRNA from 1 species
GGGCGGGGGCACGGGGGGACUCCUACGGGAGGCAGCAGUAAGGAAUAUUGGUCAAUGGACGCAAGUCUGAACCAGCCAUGCCGCGUGGAGGAUUAAGGCCCUCUGGGUUGUAAACUCCUUUUAUCUGGGAAGAAAUGCCAUUUUUCUAAAUGGUUUGACGGUACCAGAGGAAUAAGCACCGGCUAACUCCGUGCCAGCAGCCGCGGUAAUACGGAGGGUGCAAGCGUUAUCCGGAUUCACUGGGUUUAAAGGGUGCGUAGGCGGGCAGGUAAGUCCGUGGUGAAAUCUCUGAGCUUAACUCAGAAACUGCCAUGGAUACUAUUUGUCUUGAAUACUGUGGAGGUAAGCGGAAUAUGUCAUGUAGCGGUGAAAUGCUUAGAUAUGACAUGGAACACCAAUUGCGAAGGCAGCUUACUACACAGUUAUUGACGCUGAGGCACGAAAGCGUGGGGAUCAAACAGGAUUAGAUACCCUGGUAGUCCACGCCCUAAACGAUGAUUACUCGACAUCAGCGAUACACUGUUGGUGUCUGAGCGAAAGCAUUAAGUAAUCCACCUGGGAAGUACGUUCGCAAGAAUGAAACUCAAAGGAAUUGACGG